rnacentral:rRNA from 1 species
GACACAGGUGCUGCAUGGCUGUCGUCAGCUCGUGUCGUGAGAUGUUGGGUUAAGUCCCGCAACGAGCGCAACCCUGCAUUCAGUUGCCAUCGGGUGAAGCCGGGCACUCUGGAAGGACUGCCAUCGACAAGGAUGGAGGAAGGUGGGGACGACGUCAAGUCAUCAUGGCCCUUACGGCCUGGGCUACACACGUGCUACAAUGGUCGGUACAAAGGGUUGCCAAGCCGCGAGGUGGAGCUAAUCCCAUAAAACCGAUCGUAGUCCGGAUCGCAGUCUGCAACUCGACUGCGUGAAGUCGGAAUCGCUAGUAAUCGUGAAUCAGAAUGUCACGGUGAAUACGUUCCCGGGCCUU